CAUUAUUUUAGGAUAGCGCAAAAAGGCUCUCUAUGUGUUUUAAACAUCUCCCUUAUCUUCGCCGUUUAAACUUAUCUAACAAUAACAUUAGGUCUGAUGGUGCUAUUAAUGUUAUUAACGAAUUUUUAUCAUUUAAUUUAGAUGAAACAAUAGAAAAAAAAAACAAGGAUAAUGAUUAUGUUUUUAGUAAUAAACAGUUAAAAUAUUACAAAUAUAAUAAUUUAAAUUAUAUAAAUAAAAAUAUAUAUGAAUUAGAUUUAUCAGAUAAUAAACUAGAUGAUUCUUUUAUAUUGUCACUAAGUAAACUACUUGCAAAAAAUAAUUUACAGUAUAACAAGUGUAGUGAGCCUUAUAAUAAUUGUAACAAUAAUAAUAAAUUUGAAAAAUAUUAUAGUACUAAUAUAAAUAUAUAUAAAAAAAGUAAUAAAAUUAGUGUAAAUAAUAACCUGUACAAAAAACAAACAAAACCUAAAUACAGAUUUGUAUUUAAAAAUAUUGAACUUACUGACGCAUCAGUUUUAUAUUUAUUCAAAAAUUGUACCUACGUUGAAGUUUUAGAUAUAUCUCAAAACAACAUCAACCCAAGUACUUGUUUUCCUAUUCAUAUGAAAACAUUAUUUAAUACUCAAUUACAUUUAAAAGAGUUACACCUAUCAGAUAUUUAUAAAAAUAGUAAUAAUAAAAUAAGAACUGAUUUUAUAAAAGGAGAUGAUGAUUUUUUAGAAUUAAUAAAACAUUUACCAAAAUUAACAAAAUUAAAAAUAAUUUCUUAUACGAAUAAUUAUAUUACUGAUGUAUCUUUUAACUUUUUUUGUAUCUACUUAAAAAAUAAUAAAAAUGUUAUUAAAGAAAUAAAUUUUGCAAAUAAUUAUAUUACUAAUAUAAAUGUUUUAACUUAUAGUUUACAAAAUAAUAAAACAUUAAAUAUUAUUAAUUUAUCACAAAAUAAAAUAACAGAUGAAUAUAUGAAACUUUUUUGUUACUCCAUUUUAUCAACAAACUUAAAUAUAUACGAAAUUUCAUUAUCCGGAAAUCCCAUAUCUAAUCUUACUUGUAAUUAUUUAGCAGAUGCCUUAAUGGCACAAUGUAAUUUAAUCAAACAAAAUAUAAAAUUAAAGUCUAGGAAUAAUAAUAAAAAAAAAAAAAAAAAAUAAUAUUAAUAAUAAUAAUAAUAAUAAUAUAGUUUUAUCAUCCACGUUAUGUAAUAAUGAUUUACAACCUUUUUUAAAAAAAAAAAAAAAAAUUAUCAUUUG
rnacentral:lncRNA from 1 species